rnacentral:rRNA from 1 species
UGCAAGUCGAACGAGAAACUACCUAGCUUGCUUUGUAGUUUCUAGUGGCGAACGGGUGAGUAACACGUGAGCAACCUGCCCAGAAGCAGGGGAUAGCCCACCGAAAGGUGGAUUAAUACCGUAUGUGAUCCCGCGUAGCAUUGCGCGGUGAUUAAAGCUGGGGAUCUUCGGACCUGGCACUUCUGGAUGGGCUCGCGGCCUAUCAGCUAGUUGGUGAGGUAAAAGCUCACCAAGGCGACGACGGGUAGCUGGUCUGAGAGGAUGAUCAGUCACACUGGAACUGAGACACGGUCCAGACACCUACGGGUGGCAGCAGUCGAGAAUCAUUCACAAUGGGCGAAAGCCUGAUGGUGCGACGCCGCGUGGAGGAUGACAGCUCUAGGGUUGUAAACUCCUGUCAUGAGAGAGUAAAGGCUUGCCAUUAAUAGUGGUUGGGUCCUGAUAGUAUCUCAAGAGGAAGGGACGGCUAACUUCGUGCCAGCAGCCGCGGUAAUACGAAGGUCCCAAGCGUUGUUCGGAAUCACUGGGCGUAAAGCGAGCGUAGGCGGCAUGGUAAGUCAGAUGUGAAAGCCCGGGGCUCAACCUCGGAACUGCAUCCGAUACUGCCAAGCUAGAGUAGUGGAGGGGUGUAUGGAAUUCACGGUGUAGCAGUGAAAUGCGUAGAUAUCGUGAGGAACACUAGUGGCGAAGGCGAUACACUGGACACUAACUGACGCUGAGGCUCGAAGGCUAGGGUAGCGAAAGGGAUUAGAUACCCCUGUAGUCCUAGCAGUAAACGGUGUGCGUUUGGUGUGGGCGGGUUCGACCCCGUCCGUGCCGGAGCUAACGCGUUAAACGCACCGCCUGGGGAGUACGGUCGCAAGACUAAAACUCAAAGAAAUUGACGGGGACCCGCACAAGCGGUGGAGUAUGUGGCUUAAUUCGAUGCAACGCGAA